UACGAAGGGGGCUAGCGUUGCUCGGAAUCACUGGGCGUAAAGCGCACGUAGGCGGACUCUUAAGUCGGUGGUGAAAUCCUGGAGCUCAACUCCAGAACUGCCUUCGAUACUGAGAGUCUUGAGUCCGGGAGAGGUGAGUGGAACUGCGAGUGUAGAGGUGAAAUUCGUAGAUAUUCGCAAGAACACCAGUGGCGAAGGCGGCUCACUGGCCCGGUACUGACGCUGAGGUGCGAAAAGCGUGGGGGAGCAAACAGG
rnacentral:rRNA from 1 species